AAAAACACGCUCUCCCCGUAUUCACAUUCUCAAUCCACCGCCUUUUUCUCCUCCUCUCUGUAUUCCUUUUUUUCCUUUCAUCCGCCUCUAUAUCCAGAAACCCUAAUCUCCAUUCUCUCUUCUCUUCUCCCUCUUCGUCGCCUUUCAUCUUCUUCCUUUGUAAGUUGUUUAGGGUUUUACAAAAAUAUAGAUUCAACAAACAACGCAGAGUAUGAAUCUCAGGAAGGAAAGACCGAUCCUUUUCUUGGUCUAUUCUAUUUUUCUUCUCUGAUCAAUCUUCUAAUAGGUAUUCUGAUUUAACUUUUUCACUUUGUCAGUAUUAGUUUUGUUUUCGUAUUUCGAUUGAUUGUUGUAAGAAUUUUGAGGGAUUUGUUAUCGCUUUAUAGUUACAACCAAAUUGUUUUCUUGAAUCUUUUGUAGUCAAUUGUUUGAAAGUUUAUGUUUUCACUAAACACUCAUGUUCUUGAGAACCCUAAUUUUUUUCUGUUUGAUGAUACGAGUUGAAUAUCAUAUGGUUUGAUACGGGUUGCAACCCAUUGAAGUUGAUUACUUGGAAGAACUGAAGAAGCAUGGUGUAAUGGCGUGAUUUACUGGACAUUUCACCCACGCUAAGGGAGGCAGGUGGUGCCAUUGUCGAUGCAAGACUCUUUUACAAGAUGUUUCAAGUCAAAUCCUCAAGAACCUUGGAAUUGGAAUGUGUAUUUGUUCCCCCUUGGUGUUUAGGAGUUGUAGUGAGAUAUGGAAUUCUUUUCCCUGUAAGUUGAGAAGAUUUUGAUUUGGAAGGCUUCUGAUAUGCCCAUUUACUACUGCAGAUCCGAUGUAGAUGUAUGGGUGGGUACUCAUUGGAUUUGAGUUUUUAAUGAUUCAUUUAAGACUACAACGAUUGCAGUUGUGAUUACGAAUCGAGAUGAAACAUCGACUAGAAAAUAGCAGAGCUCAUCUGAGAUAACCAUAAACCAUCGACUAAAAAGGAACAGUGCCCAAAUGAUAUGGUAUUGCAAAGUCGGAUCAAAAUGUGAAAUAAGGUGAAGGGUAGCUGGGGAAUUGGAGAAUAAAACAGAUAAUUCACACUUAAUUAAUUCUUUUGAUAUCCGUUUGUGUAGAUCAGUUACUUAUUUUGUCAAUAGAUAAAUCUUUAAUAGAUUUAUAAUAAUCGAAAAUCGUUUAUGGAUUUUUGCCUUUUGAAAAAACAUGUCUUUUUAUUUUAUUUAAUGACAUAGUUUGAACCU